AAAGUUUUCUCCCGCUCCCUCAAUUUGAGUUAAACAAAGUGGUGGAGAAAAGAAAAAGAAAGUCGGUCUCAGAGGGUCUUCCCCAUUUCUGUCUCUCUUAGACAAAUCCAAAUUCUGAUCUGCGAGAUUCAAGCAGGUAAUAAUGCUUGGGCUUCGAAAUGGAGGCAAGGGUUUGGGUAAGCAAAGAGCAAAACGACAUUGUAAGGUCUUCCGCGACAGCAUCCAGGGCAUCAAGCCGGCGACGGCUCGGUUCUCAAGGUCGGCGAGGAGAAGGAGAUCGGAAAGCAAGGCUUGAAGAAGCAACUUCUCAAGGAAGGUGAAAGCUGGGAUAUAUCCCGAAGUGCGGUGAUCGAUUGCGAUUAUGUUUGAAUUCAGUCCAUUACACCGGGAUUUUGCUUGAGUUCGAUUGGAGCGGUGAUAGAGGGGACAUCGAUCAGUUCACUCGGACAAGGUGAGGGAAUUUUUGGCCUUUCACUUGUAUUAAUGACUUGAUUAAGUUGUGAGCUGAUUCAGAAGAACGGAAAGAGAUGAAGAAGAAAGCUCUGGAAUGAAAGAGGCUGGCACUGGAACCAGGUGCUUCUUUCUCCCAGAAAAUAACUAGGAAUUUGAAAAAACAACAUUGUUUGUUUUCUUAAUUGCUUUAGUUGCAUUUGGACUGGCAGCUAGUUCCUUCUUUGUAAUAAUUUAUUAAUUUCAAUGUAUUAUUUGAAAGUUUGAUUUGAAUUGAGAUAUGACUUGGUGAGAAUUUUUGUUCUUUA